rnacentral:rRNA from 1 species
GACGAACGCUGGCGGCGUGCUUAACACAUGCAAGUCGAACGGAAAGGCCCUGCUUUUGUGGGGUGCUCGAGUGGCGAACGGGUGAGUAACACGUGAGUAACCUGCCCUUGACUUUGGGAUAACAUCAGGAAACUGGGGCUAAUACCGGAUAGGAGCUCCUGCUGCAUGGUGGGGGUUGGAAAGUUUCGGCGGUUGGGGGUGGACUCGCGGCUUAUCAGCUUGUUGGUGGGGUAGUGGCUUACCAAGGCUUUGACGGGUAGCCGGCCUGAGAGGGUGACCGGCCACAUUGGGACUGAGAUACGGCCCAGACUCCUACGGGAGGCAGCAGUGGGGAAUAUUGCACAAUGGGCGGAAGCCUGAUGCAGCAACGCCGCGUGCGGGAUGACGGCCUUCGGGUUGUAAACCGCUUUCGCCUGUGACGAAGCGUGAGUGACGGUAAUGGGUAAAGAAGCACCGGCUAACUACGUG